rnacentral:rRNA from 1 species
UACAGAGGGGGCAAGCGUUAUUCGGAAUUAUUGGGCGUAAAGGGCGCGUAGGCGGCUUUGCAAGUGACGGGUGAAAUCCCUCGGCUUAACCGAGGAACUGCCUGUCAAACUGCAUGGCUUGAGACCGGGAGAGGUGAGUGGAAUUCCCAGUGUAGCGGUGAAAUGCGUAGAUAUCUGGAGGAACACCGGUGGCGAAGGCGGCAUCCUGGAUUGGUAUUGACGCUGAGGAGCGAAAGCUAGGGGAGCAAACGGG